GCUAAUACUGGAUAAGCCCUUACGGGGAAAGUUUUAAUGCCAUAAGAUGAGCCCGCAUUUGAUUAGUUAGUUGGUGAGGUAAUGGCUCACCAAGACAAUGAUCAAUAGCUGAUCUGAGAGGAUGAUCAGCCACACUGGGACUGAGACACGGCCCAGACUCCUACGGGAGGCAGCAGUGGGGAAUCUUGCACAAUGGAGGAAACUCUGAUGCAGCGAUGCCGCGUGAGUGAAGAAGGCCUUUGGGUUGUAAAGCUCUUUUGUAGGGGAAGAUAAUGACUGUACCCUAAGAAUAAGGUCCGGCUAACUUCGUGCCAGCAGCCGCGGUAAUACGAAGGGACCUAGCGUAGUUCGGAAUUACUGGGCGUAAAGCGCGCGUAGGCCGUUGAGUUAGUUAAUUGUGAAAUCCCAAAGCUUAACUUUGGAACUGCAAUUAAAACUGCUCGACUAGAGUUUGAUAGAGGAAAGCGGAAUACAUAGUGUAGAGGUGAAAUUCGUAGAUAUUAUGUAGAACACCAGUUGCGAAGGCGGCUUUCUGGGUCAACACUGACGCUGAGGCGCGAAAGUAUGGGUAGCAAAGAGGAUUAGAUACCCUCGUAGUCCAUACCAUAAACGAUGAUUGCUAGAUGUUGGAAAUUUAUUUUCAGUAUCGCAGCUAACGCAUUAAGCAAUCCGCCUGGGGAGUACGACCGCAAGGUUAAAACUCAAAUGAAUUGACGGGGACCCGCACAAGCGGUGGAGCAUGUGGUUUAAUUCGAAGAUACGCGCAGAACCUUACCAACCCUUGACAUGUCUGUCGCGAGUUUAGGAAACUAGACUUUUCGGUUCGGCCGGACAGAACACAGGUGCUGCAUGGCUGUCGUCAGCUCGUGUCGUGAGAUGUUGGGUUAAGUCCCGCAACGAGCGCAACCCUUACCUAUAGUUGCCAGCGAGUAAUGUCGGGAACUCUAUAGGGACUGCCCGGGUUAACCGGGAGGAAGGUGGGGAUGAUGUCAAGUCCUCAUGGCCCUUAUGUCCAGGGCUACACACGUGCUACAAUGGCCGACACAAACCGCUGCAGAAUCGUAAGAUGAAGCUAAUCGGAGAAAAUCGGCCUCAGUUCGGAUUGAGGUCUGCAACUCGACCUCAUGAAGUUGGAAUCGCUAGUAAUCGUAUAUCAGAACGAUACGGUGAAUACGUUCCCGGGCCUUGUACACACCGCCCGUCACAUCACGAAAGCCGGAAGCACUUGAAGAGGCUGUGGUAACCGCAAGGAGCUAGGUCUCAAUGGUGAAUUUGGUGAUUGGGGUGAAGUCAUAACAAGGUAACCGUA
rnacentral:rRNA from 1 species